rnacentral:misc_RNA from 1 species
AAACUCCACAGCUGAUUUGGGUGCUAGCUCAGGUCGAUUUAAGUAAAAAUGUCUUCAUAUUGAGGGCGUGAAAUAAAUAGGGAGUUAAUAUAUUCAUAAACGAUGUUAAGUAUUAAGUAGACGAAACUGUGACAAACCUAUUUUAAGAUAUGUUACCAACAUUAACCACAUAUACCCGACUGGAUGGUCCGAAACCUUUAUUCCGCGUUCCUUUUGGAAGAAUUGCAUUUGCAGUUGUGAGUCUGCCACUUGGCAGUUUUGCAUUUUGUGUAAUUUGGUCGUUAAUCUUUGAAUUUGAACGUUCAACUUCAACGCACUGUGAUGUACCUAAUUAUUUACCCUCCAUAUCGGCAGCCAUUGGAAAUUAUGAACCACAAAAAACCGUUUGGCGCUUAGCGAUUACAAUGCAGUUACCUUUUCGAAUAGCUGUUGUCAAAAUGUACAUGCAAUACUAUAAGGAUACAAUAAGGCGUAAUCGACGUGUAUAUGCUAUUUUAGCAUGUUUGUUAAAUAUGGUGGAGAAUUUUGCGCUCCUAAGUUUGUCAUUGUGGACAUCGUUAGAUAAUUAUCCGAUACAUCGAAAUUCUUUCGUUGUUUUUAUUGCCUGCAGUGAGAUGUAUAUGCUUAUAUCUUACUUUCUAAACAAGAAUGGACGUAAGAUAUCGCUCUUGCCAAUGGAAGAGAAAUCAUUGUUGUACAAAAGAAAUUUGUUUGUAACAAAUGUAACAGCUUUUAUUUUGGCUGGUUACUGCUUCUUGCGGCAUAAUUCCUCUUGUGAGCCGGGCGUUUACACGUUUUUUGCGCUUUUCGAGUAUGUCGUUGUCCUUACGAAUAUGGCCUACCAUAUGACUGCAUACUGGGAUUUCCAUGCUAUGCAUAUUACUUUUGACUGGGAACGAGGGCUUUACUUAUCUCAAUUUUAAUUAAUUGUAUUAAUUGCAAUAUUAUAUGUUUUUUUACUCCAGCACCUUAAGUGCAAGUAAACAUAUAUUAAGUCAAAAGAUUACUUAACUUUACUUUAAUGAAAAACUUAUUUUUACACAAUCGUUAGUAGCGAGUUUAAAUAAUAAACGAAUUAACGCACGCUCAAAACAGUGCACAUGCAUAUGUACGUGCUUUGUAUGUUAUAUUUUGCUCAAAAUANUUUUAGUGCUAAAAUCAUAUAAGUAGAUAGCAAUAAUAAAUCUAUCUGAGAUAUUAGAUAUA